rnacentral:rRNA from 1 species
UGCGUAGGCGGGUUUCUAAGCCAGAGGUGAAAGCCUGGAGCUCAACUCCAGAACUGCCUUUGAUACUGGAAGUCUUGAGUAUGGCAGAGGUGAGUGGAACUGCGAGUGUAGAGGUGAAAUUCGUAGAUAUUCGCAAGAACACCAGUGGCGAAGGCGGCUCACUGGGCCAUUACUGACGCUGAGGCGCGAAGCGUGGGAGCAAACA